UACGAGGGGGGCGAGCGUUGUUCGGAAUUAUUGGGCGUAAAGGGUGCGUAGGCGGUUUGGUAAGUCUUAUGUGAAAUCUACAGGCUCAACUUGUAGUCUGCAUGAGAAACUGCCGGGCUUGAGUAUGGGAGAGGUGAGUGGAAUUCCUGGUGUAGCGGUGAAAUGCGCAGAUAUCAGGAGGAACACCGGUGGCGAAGGCGGAUCUCUGGGCCAUUACUGACGCUGAGGAGCGAAAGCGUGGGGAGCGAACAGG
rnacentral:rRNA from 1 species